rnacentral:tRNA from 1 species
GUUUAUGUAGUUUAAAUAAAAACAUUACACUUUCACUGUAAAAAUAUUAUAAUUAUAUAUAAUCAUAAAAU